rnacentral:misc_RNA from 1 species
UACAGAGGUGGCGAGCGUUGUUCGGAUUUAUUGGGCGUAAAGGGUCCGUAGGCGGUUCGGAAAGUCGGGUGUGGAAUCCCACAGCUCAACUGUGGAACUGCAUUCGAUACUCCCGGACUAGAGUGUGAGAGGGGUAAAGGGAAUUCCCGGUGUAAGGGUGAAAUCUGCAGAGAUCGGGAGGAACACCAGUCGCGAAGGCGCUUUACUGGCUCACUACUGACGCUCAGGGACGAAAGCUAGGGGAGCAAACGGG